AACACAUGCAAGUCGAGGGGCAGCAUGAAAGUUUGCUUGCAAACUUUUGAUGGCGACCGGCGCACGGGUGAGUAACACGUAUCCAACCUGCCUCAUACUCGGGGAUAGCCUUUCGAAAGAAAGAUUAAUACCCGAUGUCAUAGUCCUACCGCAUGAUGGGAUUAUUAAAGAGUUUCGGUAUGGGAUGGGGAUGCGUUCCAUUAGUUAGUUGGCGGGGUAACGGCCCACCAAGACGACGAUGGAUAGGGGUUCUGAGAGGAAGGUCCCCCACAUUGGAACUGAGACACGGUCCAAACUCCUACGGGAGGCAGCAGUGAGGAAUAUUGGUCAAUGGACGAGAGUCUGAACCAGCCAAGUAGCGUGAAGGAUGACUGCCCUAUGGGUUGUAAACUUCUUUUAUAUGGGAAUAAAAUGUUCCACGUGUGGGAUUUUGUAUGUACCAUAUGAAUAAGGAUCGGCUAACUCCGUGCCAGCAGCCGCGGUAAUACGGAGGAUCCGAGCGUUAUCCGGAUUUAUUGGGUUUAAAGGGAGCGUAGGUGGAUUGUUAAGUCAGUUGUGAAAGUUUGCGGCUCAACCGUAAAAUUGCAGUUGAAACUGGCAGUCUUGAGUACAGUAGAGGUGGGCGGAAUUCGUGGUGUAGCGGUGAAGUGCUUAGAUAU
rnacentral:rRNA from 1 species